rnacentral:rRNA from 1 species
UACGUAGGUGGCAAGCGUUGUCCGGAAUUAUUGGGCGUAAAGCGCGCGCAGGCGGCCUUUUAAGUCUGAUGUGAAAGCCCACGGCUCACCCGUGGAAGGUCAUUGGAAACUGAAAGGCUUGAGUACAGAAGAGGAAAGCGGAAUUCCACGUGUAGCGGUGAAAUGCGUAGAGAUGUGGAGGAACACCAGUGGCGAAGGCGGCUUUCUGGUCUGUAACUGACGCUGAGGCGCGAAAGCGUGGGGAGCAAACAGG